rnacentral:rRNA from 1 species
GAGCGCCCCCGCGAGGGGAGCGGCGGACGGGUGAGUAACGCGUGGGAACGUACCCUUUGCUACGGAAUAGCCUCGGGAAACUGGGAGUAAUACCGUAUGUGCCCUUCGGGGGAAAGAUUUAUCGGCAAAGGAUCGGCCCGCGUUGGAUUAGGUAGUUGGUGGGGUAAUGGCCUACCAAGCCGACGAUCCAUAGCUGGUUUGAGAGGAUGAUCAGCCACACUGGGACUGAGACACGGCCCAGACUCCUACGGGAGGCAGCAGUGGGGAAUCUUAGACAAUGGGCGCAAGCCUGAUCUAGCCAUGCCGCGUGAGCGAAGAAGGCCUUUAGGGUUGUAAAGCUCUUUCAGUGGGGAAGAUAAUGACUGUACCCACAGAGAGAAGCCCCGGCUAACUCCGUGCCAGCAGCCGCGGUAAUACGGAGGGGGCUAGCGUUGUUCGGAAUUACUGGGCGUAAAGCGCACGUAGGCGGACUGGAAAGUCAGAGGUGAAAUCCCAGGGCUCAACCUUGGAACUGCCUUUGAAACUCCCGGUCUUGAGGUCGAGAGAGGUGAGUGGAAUUCCGAGUGUAGAGGUGAAAUUCGUAGAUAUUCGGAGGAACACCAGUGGCGAAGGCGGCUCACUGGCUCGAUACUGACGCUGAGGUGCGAAAGCGUGGGGAGCAAACA